rnacentral:rRNA from 1 species
GACGAACGCUGGCGGCGUGCUUAACACAUGCAAGGCGAACGGAAAGGCCCUGCUUUUGUGGGGUUCUCGAGUGGCGAACGGGUGAGUAACACGUGAGUAACCUGCCCUUGACUUUGGGAUAACUUCAUGAAACUGGGGCUAAUACCGGAUAGGAGCUCCUGCUGCAUGGUGGGGGUUGGAAAGUUUCGGCGGUUGGGGAUGGACUCGCGGCUUAUCAGCUUGUUGGUGGGGUAGUGGCUUACCAAGGCUUUGACGGGUAGCCGGCCUGAGAGGGUGAACCGCCACAUUGGGACUGAGAUACGGCCACGCCUCCUACGGGCGGAAGCAGUGGCGAAUAUUGCACAAUGCGCGGCAGCCAGAUGCAGCACCGCAGCGUGCGGGAUGCCGGCCUUCGGGUUGUAAACCGCUUUCGCAUGUGACGAAGCGUGAGUGACGGUAAUGGGUAAAGAAGCACCGGCUAACUACGUG